GCCAUUUCUCCUCCUAAGAGUCUUCGUGUCUUAAUCCUUAUUUUUCUUUUAUUUCAAUUCAUUUAGCUCCUAGGGGAUCUCAACAGCCUUCUUAACCUCUACUCCGUGGCGGCCAGGCCCUCUCACCAAGCCCAGUGAGAAGGUCGUGCUCCCGCCCCGUGCCCAAAGCCAGUGCUACUGCUGUGAAGACCAAGUGCAGAGCCCUGGGGGAAGCAGCCAUCGCUAGCACUUUGCCUGCUGGUGCUGUUUGGCCAGUGACCCGAGAGAUUCGCUGGCAGAAGCCACCUGCCCAGAAGUAGCCCAAUUCAACACAAUGGCACAUGAAAAACCAGAUUUGCAGUUUUGGAGGAGAUCAAAAGUGAACCAUCAUAUUACUCAUGCAUGGAUGAUGGUGAUCCGUGAAGGUAAACUACCUGCUUUCAUAACAGAAGAGUGGUGUGGGUGUAUAAUGAUGACAACGGCAAUGAUGAUGACAACAGUGAUGAUGACUUUGAUGUUGGCCAUAGGAGCCAAAGUUCCUGUGACAGUGAAAUGGAUCAAGAAUCAACUGAUAGAAACACAGAGAAUGCAGACCUCCUUGUUUCAGAUGAUGAAUAAAACAGCAAGAAUUUCUAUGUGGAAGCCCUGGCACCCAGAGUGACUGUAUUUGGAGACAGAGACUUGAGGGAGGGGACCACGCUCACACGCGGUCACAAGGGUGAGAUGCUCAUCUGACAGCACUUGCAUCUCUGCGGAGAAGGGAAGAGGCUCAGGGCCACCCUCUCGGCUUCACACACCCAGGGAAAAGCCAGUGAUCACUGGGAUCCGCUGCUGAGGAGGUGGCCGUCAACACUCCAGGAAGACAGUCUUCAGUAGGAAACCAAUGCCAACAUCAC